GGGGGCGUACUGGUUUCGACGGGGGAAAAGGUGGGUUGAGUAGCGAGCCGAUUUGUCGCCAGCUCGAUAAAAAGGCGAAACCUUAAAGUAACUGCAGAAGAUAAUUUUGCACUAGCCGC
rnacentral:tmRNA from 1 species